AUUGAACGCUGGCGGCAUGCUUUACACAUGCAAGUCGAACGGUAACAGGGUGCUUGCACCGCUGACGAAUGGCGAACGGGUGAGUAAUGCGUCGGAACGUGCCGAGUAGUGGGGGAUAACGCAUCGAAAGGUGUGCUAAUACCGCAUACGUACUGAGGUAGAAAGUGGGGGACCUUCGGGCCUCACGCUAUUCGAGCGGCCGACGUCUGAUUAGCUAGUUGGUGAGGUAAAGGCUCACCAAGGCGACGAUCAGUAGCGGGUCUGAGAGGAUGGUCCGCCACAGUGGGACUGAGACACGGCCCAGAUUCCUACGGGAGGCAGCAGUGGGGAAUUUUGGACAAUGGGCGCAAGCCUGAUCCAGCUAUGCCGCGUGUCUGAAGAAGGCCUUCGGGUUGUAAAGGACUUUUGUCCGGGAGCAAAUGCCUGGUGUUAAUAGCACUGGGAGCUGAGAGUACCGGAAGAGUAAGCACCGGCUAACUACGUGCCAGCCGCCGCCGUAACAC
rnacentral:rRNA from 1 species